rnacentral:rRNA from 1 species
UACAUGGGGUGCAAACGUUGCUCGGAAUUAUUGGGCGUAAAGCGCACGUAGGCGGUCCGUUAAGUCGGAUGUGAAAGCCCCCGGCUCAACCGGGGAAGUGCAUCCGAAACUGGCAGGCUAGAGUACGAAAGAGGGUCGCGGAAUUCCCGGUGUAGAGGUGAAAUUCGUAGAUAUCGGGAGGAACACCGGUGGCGAAGGCGGCGACCUGGGUCGAUA